rnacentral:rRNA from 1 species
AUUGAACGCUGGCGGCAUGCCUUACACAUGCAAGUCGAACGGUAACAGGUCUUCGGAUGCUGACGAGUGGCGAACGGGUGAGUAAUACAUCGGAACGUGCCCGAGAGUGGGGGAUAACGGAGCGAAAGCUUUGCUAAUACCGCAUACGAUCUCAGGAUGAAAGCAGGGGACCGCAAGGCCUUGCGCUCACGGAGCGGCCGAUGGCAGAUUAGGUAGUUGGUGGGAUAAAAUGCUUACCAAGCCGACGAUCUGUAGCUGGUCUGAGAGGACGACCAGCCACACUGGGACUGAGACACGGCCCAGACUCCUACGGGAGGCAGCAGUGGGGAAUUUUGGGACAAUGGGCGCAAGCCUGAUCCAGCCAUGCCGCGUGCAGGAUGAAGGCCUCGGUUGUAAAGCUGCUUUGUACGGAACGAACGGCUCUUUCUAAUAAACGAGGGUCUAAUGACGGUACCGUAAGAAUAAGCACCGGCCAACUACGUGCCAGCAGCCGCGGUAAUACGUAGGGUGCGAGCG